rnacentral:rRNA from 1 species
UAAACUAGGAUUAGAUACCCUAUUAUAUUUAGAAAAUUAUAAGGUAGUACUUUCAAAAAAACCUAUACAUUAUGGCGGCAUNCUAUCUNUAUUAGAGGAGUAUGUUAUAUAAUCGACAACACGCGAUAANUUUUCACUUAUUAUUAUAUCUUAUAUACCGCCGUUAAAAGAAUAAAUUUAAAAAUCUCUAUUCAAAAAAAUUUUAUAACAAAUUAGGUAAAGGUGUAGACCACAAAAUAAGAACUAAUGUUCUACACUAAAAAAAUUUACAAAAUUUUUAAAAACUCAUUAAAGAAUUUAAAAGUAAUAAUUAAAUAAUAUUUUACUAUGAAUAAGAAAAUAAAUGUGCACACAUCGC